rnacentral:lncRNA from 9 species
AGAGUAGAGGUAUUCAGAAUUUGCAGAGAGUGGUCUUGUGUCUUGCUUUCAAGGGCAGAGCCCUGAAGCUGAACAAAUCGGUGGAUUCCAUCUUCUUGGCCCCUCUAUUCUGGAGUGAGAAAUCAGACUGAAUCUCAAGACUCCUGUGAUCAAGUCUAGAACAAAGGCUGAUUCUCUCCCUUUGGAGCAUACGAUGAGCCAUUUUUGUCAGGAUGAAGGAAGCUGUUUUCAACAUAAAGCUGAUUCACAAAUGAGAGGAAAACUAAGGACAUCUGAAAUAGCCUUACAAUAUAUUGGCAGUACUCCAUGGUAUGAGGAAGUUACAGGCCAGGAUAAAGUCUGUGGAUUAAAUUUGGAUUCAACAGCUAGUUCAGAUACCUGCUUUGAGGUAACCAUUUUACUCUCAAGUGUAUAAAGACAGAUUCUGGAACAAUGUACU